AUGGCGACCGCGGACCCUGGCCCGGCGAGCCCGUCAUCGCUGGCCCCGCUCAGGCCGGCCUGCGCCGUCACCUUCGGCCGCUCCACGCUCCUCGGCCGCCACCUGGCCGCCGCGCUCGCCGCCUCCCGCCGAUGGUCUGCCGUCGCCGUGCUGGACCCCUCCCCCUGCGACGCCUCGCCGACCGCGCCCCUCGCCCACGUCACCGUCGACCUCUCCGACCCCGCGGCGGCUCUCGGCCCCGCCCUCGCCGGCGUCGAGGCCGUCUUCCACGUGGACCCCACCUCCGCCGCCGACGCCGCCGGCGACGGGUCCUUCCUCUCGCUCCACCGCGUCGCGGCCGAGGGCACCAGGCGCCUCCUCGCCGCCUGCCGCGCCAGCGGCGUGCGCAGGGUCGUGUACACCGGCUCCGCCGCCGCCGUCGCCGCCGCCGCGCUCGAUGUGGUCGACGCCGACGAGGACUCGGUGCCGUACCCCGACAAGUUCGGGAGCGCGGUCAGCGAGCUCAGGGCGCAGGUCGAGAUGAUGGUUCUGAGCACGGAUGGGAACGACGGGAUGCGGACGUGCGUGCUGCGGCCGAGCAAUCUGUUCGGGCCAGGCGAUUCGAGUCUGGUGAGGUUCGUUGCUGGAUAUGCAAGGUCUCCCUUGGGCAAGUUUGUAAUAGGUAGUGGAGGUAGCAAGUCUGACUUUACGUAUGUGGAAAAUGUGGUACAUGCCAACAUUUGCGCUGAACAAGCUUUAUGUUCCAAUGCUGCUUCUGUUGCUGGAAAGCCUUUUUUUGUUACUAAUGGUGAACCUAUCGAAACAUGGGAGUUUGUGUCCUGCAUGAUGGAAGCCAUGGGUUGCCAAAGGCCCAGAGUUAAUCUUCCUGCCAAGAUGCUAUUGUUUGCUGCCCAGUUCUCCAAUAUGAUUCAUCAUAGAUUGGGUUUGCAAAUGUCAUCGACUCCACCUCUCUAUCCUGAUGCAGUAUACUUCUUGUCGCACACAAGAACUUUUAACAUUUCCAAAGCUAGAAGGCAACUUGGGUAUGCCCCAACUGUAUCAUUGGAGGAUGGAAUCAUGAGAACUGCUGCAUCAGUUUCGGAACUACAAGAUAAUUUGGGUAUAUCUAGGAAACAAGGUUCUUGUGGAUCAUCGAAAGCAGAUAAGCUGCUUGGGAGUGGAGUAGCUGCUGACAUUCUCCUUUGGAGGGAUGAAAAGAAAACCUUCUCAUAUAUCACACUACUGUUUCUGCUGUUCUACUGGUUCUUUCUUUCAGACAGAACUUUUGUCUCCUCGUCUGCCAAAAUUCUUCUAGUGAUCUUCCUGGCUCUUUACAUCCAUGGUGUACUACCUUCAAAAGUGUAUGGUUUUACAGUAGAGAAGGUAACUCCUGAUUGUUUUGAAGUAUCAGACUCAACAUUGAGGAAUCCAAUCAUGUGCAUGGCUUCUCUAUGGAAUGGAGGUAUUCAUAAACUGAGGGUUCUAGCAGAAGGUGAUGACUGGGGUACCUUCUUAAAGGCUGUUGCUUCCUUGUUCUGUGUCAAAGUAAUGCUGCACUUCCAGUUUAGAACGCUGAUUGGUCUUGCGCUGGCAUCCUUGUUCAUUGUCUUCAUUGUCUACGAACAAUGUGAAGAGGGGAUUGACGCUUUAGUAGCUAUGGCAUCUGUCAAAAUCAAAUCCCUAGUGGACAGAGUUGGUAGAGAUUUGCCGGCGGUUCGAAAUGUGCUGGUCUCUUCGAAGGCGUCGUAUAUUUUACAGAUAAUCUUGGCGAUGACUCUUUGA
rnacentral:rRNA from 1 species